GUUCACAUGGUGCCAUUUCGCAGCUGUUUUUGGUGAUUGACAUUAUUUGAUUAUUAAAACAAGCUAAGAUAUUCAUAAUCAUAACUAUAUCCGUUUGUAUUAAUUAGAUAUUUAUCUAUCUGUUUGUUUAUUCAUUCAACAUUGUGGGGGCUCAUCAUUGUUAACAAAUCAAUUGAUUUGAAGUAAUUCACAAAAAAGGAUUACUGAGCCCACAAGUGUGAGUAAUAUAUACAUCAAACAUUCUUUUCACAAAUACACAGGCAAAUGAGAAGUCUUCCAAAUUGUCAACAUGUAAGUCACUUUGGAUAAAAGUGUCUGCUAAAUUAAUACAUGUGUAGGAUAUGUUGACAUGCUCUUGUUCCCAUUUAAGCCACUAGGAGGUGUCAUGGUGCCAGUGGCAUGUCAAACUAAAGUGUGUUCCCUGCAGGUCUCAUAUUGUCUGCUUCAUCACACUGCUGCAGGCAGUGUUUCAACACAGGAUGCCUCUCUCAGGCUGCUGGAUGAGGAUCUUUGUCAUUGUAGUGGCAAAUUGCAUCGGUACAUGUGCAGAGGAGAUUCUGUUCAUCAAACGGAAUCCAAUGUGAUCAGUACUGAAGGGGAGAUGGUGACUCUCGCUUGUGCAUAUGAGACGGCAGGCAAUCCUUAUCUUCUCUGGUAUAAACAGCAACCAAACAGUGUGCCCACUUACUUACUAGGCAGGGGCAAGUUUGGAUCUGGCCAUAACGGCACUGAGUUCAGUGAGAGAUUCAACUGCACCUUCUCCUCCAGCUCUGUUCCUCUGACAAUCAGGAAUCUGCAAGUGUCUGACUCUGCUGUCUACUACUGUGCCCUGCAGCCCACAGUGAGAACAACACUGUACACACCCACACAAAAACCUAUCUGA